rnacentral:rRNA from 1 species
UUAGGAAUCUUGGACAAUGGGCGAAAGCCUGAUCCAGCCAUGCCGCGUGAGUGAUGAAGGCCUUCGGGUUGUAAAGCUCUUUAGCCGACGAAUAUAAUGACUGUAGUCGGAGAAUAAGCCCCGGCUAACUUCGUGCCAGCAGCCGCGGUAAUACGAAGGGGGCGAGCGUUGUUCGGAAUCACUGGGCGUAAAGCGUGCGUAGGCGGCGAGGAAAGUUAGGAGUGAAAGCCCAGGGCUCAACCUUGGAAUUGCUCUUAAAACUCCCUUGCUCGAAUAUCGGAGAGGAGAGCGGAAUUGUCAGUGUAGCAGUGAAAUGCGUAGAUAUUGACAGGAACACCAGUGGCGUAAGCGGCUCUCUGGACGAUUAUUGACGCUGAGGCACGAAAGCGUGGGGAUCAAACAGGAUUAGAUACCCGGGUAGUCC